rnacentral:rRNA from 1 species
UUGCUCUUCAACUUUAGCGGCGGACGGGUGAGUAACACGUGGGCAACCUGCCCUGCAGAUCGGGAUAACUCCGGGAAACCGGUGCUAAUACCGAAUAGUUUUCGCCACCUCCUGGUGGCGUACGGAAAGACGGUUUCGGCUGUCACUGCAGGAUGGGCCCGCGGCGCAUUAGCUAGUUGGUGGGGUAACGGCCCACCAAGGCAACGAUGCGUAGCCGACCUGAGAGGGUGAUCGGCCACACUGGGACUGAGACACGGCCCAGACUCCUACGGGAGGCAGCAGUAGGGAAUCUUCCGCAAUGGACGAAAGUCUGACGGAGCAACGCCGCGUGAGUGACGAAGGUUUUCGGAUCGUAAAACUCUGUUGUGAGGGAAGAACAAGUACCACUUAACUACUGGUACCUUGACGGUACCUCACCAGAAAGCCACGGCUAACUACGUGCCAGCAGCCGCGGUAAUACGUAGGUGGCAAGCGUUGUCCGGAAUUAUUGGGCGUAAAGCGCGCGCAGGCGGUCCCUUAAGUCUGAUGUGAAAGCCCACGGCUCAACCGUGGAGGGUCAUUGGAAACUGGGGGACUUGAGUGCAGAAGAGGAAAGUGGAAUUCCACGUGUAGCGGUGAAAUGCGUAGAGAUGUGGAGGAACACCAGUGGCGAAGGCGACUUUCUGGUCUGUAACUGACGCUGAGGCGCGAAAGCGUGGGGAGCAAACAGGAUUAGAUAC